rnacentral:rRNA from 1 species
UGUACACACCGCCCGUCGCUACUACCGAUUGAAUGGCUCAGUGAGGCCUUUGGACUGGCUCGGAGAGGUUGGCAACGACCACUCCGAGCCGGAAAGUUGGACGAACUCGGUCAUUUAGAGGAAGUAAAAGUCGUAACAAGGUUUCCGUAGGUGAACCUGCGGAAGGAUCAUUA